rnacentral:rRNA from 1 species
CCCUUAGAUGUCCUGCGCCGCACGCGCGCUACAAUGGCCAAAUCAAUGGGCACUUCCUUACUCGAGAGGGUUGGGUAAUCCUGUAAACUUGGUCGUGAUGGGGCUAGAUUAUUGCAAUUAUUAAUCUUCAACGAGGAAUGCCUAGUAAACGCCUCUCAUCAUGAGGCAUUGAAUACAUCCCUGCGUAAGUAUAAAAAAUUUUUAGAGAAGACUAAAAAGAUAUUUUUAACUAACCUUAUUUAUAUAUAUAGCCUUUGUACACACCGCCCGUCGCAUCUACCGAUGAAUUUUGCGGUGAAGUCUCGGGAGUUUUAAAGAAAUUAUUUCCUUCGGGUUAUGAAUUCUUUGAAAUAAACUUGCCUAAACCUUAACAUUUAGAGGAAGAUGAAGUCGUAACA